UCAUAAUAACUGAUCGAAGCGCACUUGUGUGCGCUAAAUCUUUCAAGUAUCUGCCCUAUCAGAUUGUUGGUAGUGUAUUGGACUACCAAGUCGAUCACGGGUAACGGAGAAUUAGGGUUCGAUUCCGGAGAGGGAGCCUGAGAAACGGCUACCACAGCUACGGUAGGCAGCAGGUGCGUAAAUUACCCAAUCCAAAAUCUGGAAGGUAGUUACAGGAAAUUUGUUGCAUGGGGUUCUACCCCAGACACAAACGAACACAUGUAAGUAUUGUGUGUUUAAUUGGAGGGCAAGUUUUGGUGCCAGCAGCCGCGGUAAUUCCAACUCCAAGAGUGUAUCUUAAUGUUGCUGCAGUUAAAAAGCUCGUAGUUGAACCUCUGGCUAGUGAGGGCCCGCAUGGGCCGUUCGCUAGUCAUCCGCUCGGAGAAGCAGUAUUUCCUUAACCGGUUUUACUGUAGACCCAGCAUUUUACUUUGAAGAAAUUAGAGUGUUCCUGGCAGGCCUAGCUUGCAUAUAUUAGCAUGGAAUAAUGGAAUAGGACCUUGUCUGUUUUAUUGGUUGACAGAUAGGUAAUGAUUAACAGGGACAGUCGGGGG
rnacentral:rRNA from 1 species